rnacentral:rRNA from 1 species
GACGAACGCUGGCGGCGCGCCUAACACAUGCAAGUCGAACGAGCGAGAGAGAGCUUGCUUUCUCGAGCGAGUGGCGAACGGGUGAGUAACGCGUGAGGAACCUGCCUCAAAGAGGGGGACAACAGUUGGAAACGACUGCUAAUACCGCAUAAGCCCACGGUGCCGCAUGGCACCGAGGGAAAAGGAGCAAUCCGCUUUGAGAUGGCCUCGCGUCCGAUUAGCUAGUUGGUGAGGUAAUGGCCCACCAAGGCGACGAUCGGUAGCCGGACUGAGAGGUUGAACGGCCACAUUGGGACUGAGACACGGCCCAGACUCCUACGGGAGGCAGCAGUGGGGAAUAUUGCACAAUGGGGGAAACCCUGAUGCAGCGACGCCGCGUGGAGGAAGAAGGUCUUCGGAUUGUAAACUCCUGUUGUUGGGGAAGAUAAUGACGGUACCCAACAAGGAAGUGACGGCUAACUACGUA